rnacentral:rRNA from 1 species
CCUACGGGGAGCAGCAGUGGGGAAUAUUGGGCAAUGGGCGCAAGCCUGACCCAGCAACGCCGCGUGAAGGAAGAAGGCUUUCGGGUUGUAAACUUCUUUUGUCAGGGAAGAGUAGAAGACGGUACCUGACGAAUAAGCUACGGCUAACUACGUGCCAGCAGCCUCGGUAAUAAGUAGGUGGCAAGCGUUGUCCGGAUUUACUGGGUGUAAAGGGCGUGUAGCCGGGUUGACAAGUCAGAUGUGAAAUCCUGCGGCUUAACCGCAGAACUGCAUUUGAAACUGUUGAUCUUGAGUACUGGAGAGGCAGAUGGAAUUCCUAGUGUAGCGGUGAAAUGCGUAGAUAUUAGGAGGAACACCAGUGGCGAAGGCGGUCUGCUGGACAGCAACUGACGGUGAGGCGCGAAAGCGUGGGGAGCAAACAGGAUUAGAUACCCGAGUAGUC